GCAUUGGUGAUUAAGUGGUAGAAUUCUCACCUUCCAUGUGGGAUACCCAGGUUCAAUUCCCAGCCAAUGCA
rnacentral:tRNA from 1 species